UCGAGUUUACAACUCCCAAACCCCAUGUGAACCUUACCAUCACGUCGCUUCGGCGGUCACGCCCCGGCGCCCCCGUGCCCGGAACCAGGCGCCCGCCGGAGGACCAUCAAACUAUUGUUGUAUCUAGUGGCAUUGUCUGAGUGGCGUAAAGCAAAUCAAUCA
rnacentral:misc_RNA from 1 species